rnacentral:rRNA from 1 species
GAUGAACGCUGGCGGCGUGCCUAAUACAUGCAAGUCGAGCGAACGGACGAGAAGCUUGCUUCUCUGAUGUUAGCGGCGGACGGGUGAGUAACACGUGGAUAACCUACCUAUAAGACUGGGAUAACUUCGGGAAACCGUAGCUAAUACCGGAUAAUAUUUUGCACCGCAUGGUUCAAUAGUGAAAGACGGUUUUGCUGUCACUUAUAGAUGGAUCCGCGCUGCAUUAGCUAGUUGGUAAGGUAACGGCUUACCAAGGCAACGAUGCAUAGCCGACCUGAGAGGGUGAUCGGCCACACUGGAACUGAGACACGGUCCAGACUCCUACGGGAGGCAGCAGUAGGGAAUCUUCCGCAAUGGGCGAAAGCCUGACGGAGCAACGCCGCGUGAGUGAUGAAGGUCUUCGGAUCGUAAAACUCUGUUAUUAGGGAAGAACAAAUGUGUAAGUAACUGUGCACAUCUUGACGGUACCUAAUCAGAAAGCCACGGCUAACUACGUG